AUGUAUAUCAUUAGCAACUAAUGCACAUAGUUCCUUACUUCUCGAACCUAAGAUACCUGCUGAUGAUAUUAUGAAGGACUGGUGUGAAGUGAACAAGGAAUUUUUACUUCAACAAUUAUCUAAAAAUGAUGACUCUUCCUCUUCAUCUGACACACCACCACCACCUGGUGAUUUCAAAGAUCUUUCCACAAUAAAAUCAACCACUAACAAGAGUGACUAUUACUGGGUAAAAGCUUCCAUAGCACUCAUUAAUUUCUAGCAACGAUUUGCUUACAUAGCAUGCAAUAAAUGUAACAUAUCAACUGGUGCUGAGCUUGAAGAGACUUUCGAUUGCAUAAAAGGACAUGAAGGAAAAGGAGUUGGUAGAUCUUGCGUGCAAGUCCAUCUAAAAGACAACACAAAUGCACUACCAGCAACUUUAUUUGGCUCCAUUGCCAUAAGUUCCUUAAUUGCUAUACAGCUCAACUUCUCCAACAAAUAACAGAGAAUGGCAAUGAGGAUAUCAAAAACAUCAUCAAUCCUUGUUCAGAAAAAUAAUACAACAUCAAGCUUAAACCAUCAACAAAAGAAUAUGCUGGAGAGAUGAAGUGCAAAUACAUAGUAGAUGCACUCCAUGAUGUAGAAAGUGGAUAAAGUCACCAACAAAUAUAGCAUUUUGCCUAUAACUAAUAGUCUAUUGGUCUACAUGUAUAUCUUGUUUUUUUAUGUUUUAACUUUAACAAGACCAAUAUCUCAUCCUUUUAUGUUACCUUUUGCAAGAAAUAGUAACUAUCAGGACAUAUAACACACAAUGUAAAUACAGACUGAUGAAGUCACUGACUUCCAUGUUUAUAAAUAAAUUUUCUACUAAU